GUGGGGAAUCUUCCGCAAUGGACGAAAGUCUGACGGAGCAACGCCGCGUGAGUGAAGAAGGUUUUCGGAUCGUAAAGCUCUUUCGUUAGGGACGAACGUGCUCUUUGUGAAUAAUGAGGAGUAAUGACGGUACCUAAAUAAGAAGCCACGGCUAACUACGUGUCAGCAGCCGCGGUAAUACGUAGGUGGCAAGCGUUGUCCGGAAUUAUUGGGCGUAAAGCGCGCGCAGGCGGGAUAUCAAGUCUGUCUUAAAAGUGCGAGGCUCAACCUCGUGAGGGGACAGAAACUGGUAUUCUUGAGUGUCGGAGAGGAAAGUGGAAUUCCAAGUGUAGCGGUGAAAUGCGUAGAGAUUUGGAAGAACACCAGUGGCGAAGGCGACUUUCUGGACGAUGUCUGACGCUGAGGCGCGAAAGCUAGGGGAGCGAACGGGAUUAGAUACCCGAGUAGUCC
rnacentral:rRNA from 1 species